UAACAUUUGUAUUGAUUAAAUUUGCUUCUAAUAAAAAGAAUUAUUGAAAAUAUUAUUUUACUAAAUUUAACAUAUGAUGUCACUUGAUGCUGUAUCUCUAUAUAUUGGCACGUUAUAAAUAUAUAAUACGAUUAAAAGAUGGCCCUUCUCAUUGACUCAUCUUUACUAAACCAUAAAUUUUCAUUUUUUUUUAUUUUAAAAUAUAUAAGUAUUUUUUUUCUUCAUUUUUUAUUGCAUUUAUAUUACUUCAACACCUCUCUUUAUGAAGGCAUUGCAUUUUUUAAUGCAUGCAUUUUUUUUAUAUUGAAGACCACACCGUGUUUAUACACUUCAUACAAUUUUUUUUUCAAUUGAGUUACGAGAAUCUUUUUAUUAUUACUUGUUUAAAAUCCUCAUAGUAAGUAUAUUUAAAAAUAAUACUAAGGAGCUAUUUUUAGUUAUUUUAAGACAUGUUGACAGAUUUUUGUUAGCUGUCAUUUUAUUUUCUUUACUAACUAACAUUUUUGUUUUUUUCUUCUGAAGUAACGUGUUGUUG
rnacentral:lncRNA from 1 species